rnacentral:rRNA from 1 species
UACGGGGGGGGCAAGCGUUGUUCGGAAUUACUGGGCGUAAAGGGCUUGUAGGCGGCCAACUAAGUCCGACGUGAAAUCCCCAGGCUUAACCCGGGAACUGCGUCGGAUACUGGAUGGCUUGAAUUCGGGAGAGGGAUGCAGAAUUCCAGGUGUAGCGGUGAAAUGCGUAGAUAUCUGGAGGAAUACCGGUGGCGAAGGCGGCAUCCUGGACCGACAUUGACGCUGAGGAGCGAAAGCUAGGGGAGCAAACGGG